rnacentral:rRNA from 1 species
UACGAAGGGGGCUAGCGUUGCUCGGAAUGACUGGGCGUAAAGGGCGCGUAGGCGGAUGGUACAGUCAGAUGUGAAAUUCCUGGGCUUAACCUGGGGGCUGCAUUUGAUACGUAUUGUCUAGAGUGAGGAAGAGGGUCGUGGAAUUCCGAGUGUAGAGGUGAAAUUCGUAGAUAUUCGGAAGAACACCAGUGGCGAAGGCGACUUACUGGACACAUAUUGACGCUGAGGUGCGAAAGCGUGGGGAGCAAACAGG